CUAAAUCUGAUUGUCUCCAGCAAAAAAAACGUUAAUUUUUUUUUUCUUAUCAUCUUCGACGUUCUGUUUUUUUUUUCAAAUCUGAGAAAUCAUAAGUUCUUUGUUAUGAUUCUUUCAUAUUCAAAUAAGAAAUAAUUGAUUAUGAAGCCCUUUUAAAUUUAGAUUCCAAAUUUCCAAAAUUCCAUAUCGUUUUCAUCUCCACAAUUCCUCCUAUGCAUAUAACAGUAUCGGUUCGAGAUAACAUGUGGCCACUCGUUCUUAGAGACUAUGCUUUCCCAUCCACAGGUCCGCCAUAGCUGGCUAUAGCUGCUACGUCGUGACUUUUCUUGUGGGCAAGCGUCACGUGAGACCGUUCAAGCUUUUGUUGUAUCCUCUUUUUUCUUUCUCUAGAAAUAAUCCUACUGUUCGGUGUGUUGUGGCCAACUGAUAAGGGAAAACAUUUAUUAGCAGCAAAGCCAAUACAUAACCUUGAGUUCUCUAAUGCAUAAGCUAAAUGGAAAAAAUGAUGUGGGCUCACUCGGGCAAGAACAAAUUCAGACUUCAGUUAA